AACGUAGGAGGCAAGCGUUAUCCGGAUUUACUGGGCGUAAAGCGCAUGCAGGCGGUUGUGCAAGUUGGGCGUGAAAUCUCUCGGCUUAACCGGGAGGGGUCGUCCAAUACUGCGCGACUUGAGUGCAGGAGAGGGAAGCGGAAUUUCCGGUGUAGCGGUAAUAUGCGCAGAUAUCGGAAAGAACACCAGUGGCGAAGGCGGCUUUCUGGCCUGUAACUGACGCUAAGAUGCGAAAGCUAGGGGAGCGAAC
rnacentral:rRNA from 1 species